rnacentral:rRNA from 1 species
UACGGGGGGGGCAAGCGUUGUUCGGAAUUACUGGGCGUAAAGGGCUCGUAGGUGGCCAACUAAGUCGGACGUGAAAUCCCUCGGCUUAACCGGGGAACUGCGUCCGAUACUGGUUGGCUUGAGUUUGGGAGAGGGAUGCGGAAUUCCAGGUGUAGCGGUGAAAUGCGUAGAUAUCUGGAGGAACACCGGUGGCGAAGGCGGCGUUCUGGACUGUAACUGACACUGAAAAACGAAAGCCAGGGGAGCAAACGGG